AGCAGCCGCGGUAAUUCCAGCUCCAAUAGCGUAUAUUAAAGUUGUUGCAGUUAAAAAGCUCGUAGUUGAAUUUCGGGAUUAAUAUGCUGGUCGUGCCAUUGGUACGUACUAGUAUUAUUGAUUUCUCCCUUCUGAUGAAUCAUGAUGUCAUUAAUUUGAUGUCAUGGGGAAUCAGGACUGUUACUUUGAAAAAAUUAGAGUGUUUAAAGCAGGCUCGCGCUUGAAUACAUUAGCAUGGAAUAAUGAAAUAGGACGUUUGAUUCUAUUUUGUUGGUUUCUAGGAUCGACGUAAUGAUUAAUAGGGAUAGUUGGGGGCAUUAGUAUUCAAUUGUCAGAGGUGAAAUUCUUGGAUUUAUUGAAGACUAACUACUGCGAAAGCAUUUGCCAAGGAUGUUUUCAUUAAUCAAGAACGAAAGUUAGGGGAUCGAAGACGAUCAGAUACCGUCGUAGUCUUAACCAUAAACUAUGCCGACUAGGGAUCGGAUGAUGUUAAUUUUUUAAUGACUCA
rnacentral:rRNA from 1 species